GAUGAACGCUGGCGGCGUGCUUAACACAUGCAAGUCGAACGGUGAAAGCGGAGCUUGCUCUGCUGGAUCAGUGGCGAACGGGUGAGUAACACGUGAGCAACCUACCCCGGACUCCGGGAUAACAGCUGGAAACAGCUGCUAAUACCGGAUAUGAGCUGCGAAGGCAUCUUCAGCAGCUGGAAAGAACUUCGGUCUGGGAUGGGCUCGCGGCCUAUCCGCUUGUUGGUGGGGUAACGGCUCACCAAGGCGUCGACGGGUAGCCGGCCUGAGAGGGUGACCGGCCACACUGGGACUGGCACACGGCCCAGACUCAUACGGGAGGCAGCAGUGGGGAAUAUUGCAACAUGGGCGAAAGCCUGAUGCAGCAACGCGGCGUGAGGGACGACGGCCUUCGGGUUGUAAACCUCUUUUAGCAGGGAAGAAGCGAAAGUGACGGUACCUGCAGAAAAAGCGCCGGCUAACUACGUGCCAGCCGCCGCCGUAAGAC
rnacentral:rRNA from 1 species